rnacentral:lncRNA from 1 species
AACAGUUUUAGAAAAUUUAGGGUGUUUUCUAUCCAUAUGUAAUAAGUAUAUGCAUAUUCUAGUUACUGGGUAGGAGUGGUAACCAGAUUAAAUCGGGUAUGUUUUUUAUCCAGCCGUGUCAAUACUGCCCCCUAGCCCUAACAGGUUAAAGAGGUGGGGUUUCAGGUGUCUCCGGAAGGUGGUGAUUGACUCCGCUGUCCUGGCGUCGUGAGGGAGCUUGUUCCACCAUUGGGGUGCCAGAGCAGCGAACAGUUUUGACU